GUGCUAGCUUUGGCAGCACAUAUACUAAAAUUGGAAUGAUACAGAGAUUAGCAUGGCCCCUGUACAAGGAUGACAUACAAAUUCAUGAAGGAUUCCAUAUUUUU